rnacentral:rRNA from 1 species
GGACUACCCGGGUUUCUAAUCCUGUUUGCUCCCCGCACUUUCGCGCCUCAGCGUCAGUCAUUGGCUAGAAGUUCGCCUUCGCCACCGGUGUUCUUCCUGAUAUCUACAGAUUUCACCCCUACACCAGGAAUUCCAACUCCCCCUCCAUGACUCUAGUUCCACAGUUUCCAACGCAGUGAUUAAGUUAAGCUUAAACAUUUCACGCCAGACUUGCAAAACCGCCUACGCGCCCUUUACGCCCAAUAAUUCCGAACAACGCUUGCCCCUUACGUGUUACCGCGGCUGCUGGCAC